AUGUGCCCAGGGAUGUGCCCGAGGCACCGCCGCUCCCGGGGCUGCUCCAUCAACUGCCCUGGCCUUUGCUCCUCGGCCGGGGGGCAAAAUCCGAGUGCUGCUGUCCCCAGGACCAGAUCUGCUGUCCCCAGUGUCAGACCCGCUAUUCCCAAAGCCGGAUCUUCCACCCCCAGGGCCACACCUGCCAUCCCUAGGAUGAGACCAUCCACUUCCAGUGUCGCAAUUUCCAUCCUCAGUGUCACAGCUUCCAUCCCCAGGGUCAAACUCACCACCCUCAGGGUCAGACCUGCCAUUCCCAAGGUCACAACUCCCAUCCCAAAUGUCAAGACCUGUUUUCCAGUGCCAGAGUUUCCAUUCCCAGUGCUAGUCCUGCCAUCCUUAGGGUCAGACCUGCCAUUCCCAGGGUCACAAUUCUUAUCCCAAAUGUCAGACCUGUUUCCCAUUGCCACACCUUCCAUUCCCAGUGCCAGCCCUGCCAUCCUUAGGGUCAGAUCUGCCACACCCAGUGUCACACCUGCCUCCUCCAUUGUCCCAUCUCCCAUCCCAAGGGUCACACCUGAUACCCAGUGCCAAACCUUCCAUCCCCAGUGCCAGGGCUGAUCCCCAGCGUCACACCUGCCAUCCCCAGUGUCCCAUGCCAGGAUCAGAGCCAGCACCCGGCUGUGACAGCAGGCUCCUGCCAGCUGUCUGCAGAGCUUGGGGAAUGCUGUCUGUGGCCACACAGGCACGGUGCUGCUGUAAGAGCGACCUGCAGGGAGAGGGGCUGGAUGUGCUGAGCUCUCCUCGCAGCUCGCAAGCGGCGGGCAGCCCCCGGGGCAGGGUCCCAGAGCUCCCGGCUCGUCCCCACCUCGUGCCCCGAACCAGCCGGUGAUCUCACGUGAAUGAGCUCAGAGCUGGCUGCGUCCUGCCAGGAUUUACAUGGGAGGCUCCAGAGAGUCUGUGUGUACUCACAAGCCUCCCGCCGAGAGCCACAGCUCUCCCCGAGGGGAGGAGGAGCGGGGCUCCCUUUCCUGCUUCCCCACCCUGCCCUGCCAGCCCCGGCUCCUGGCAGCCCGCCUGCUCCGGGCGGCCCACGCUGCUUCCCGGGCGGCUGCGGGAGCCAGGACAGGGAGAUCCAGCCCUCCUGGACCCCUCACUGCUGCCCUGCACUCCUGCAAUCCCAUAGCCCUGCGCUCCUGUAUCCCCGUGCCCUGCAUCCCAGUGUUCCUGCAUCCCUGCAUGCUCAGUCCUGCAACCCCACACCCCUACACUCUUGAAGCCCCUGCAUCCCUGCAAUCCUGUCACUGUGUCACUGCAUCCCUGUAUCUGUGUGCCCCUAAAUCCCUUUUUGUGCCUCUGCAUGCCUGUAUCCUAAAUCCCUACAUCUCUGUGCCCCUGCAUCCCUGCAUCCUGUUUCCCCUCUAAUCCCCUGCAUCCCCACACUUGCACAUCUGCACCCCUGCACAUGUACUUCCCAUCAUCCCUGUGCCCCUGCAUCCCUGUAUCUUAAAUCCCUACAUCUCUGUGCCCCUGCAUCCUGCCUCCUCUCUAAUCCCCUGCAUCCCCACACCUGCACAUCUGCACUUGUGCUUCCCAUCAUCCCUGUGCCCCUGCAUCCCUG
ensembl:lncRNA